CGAGGAUUCCUUUAGUAACGGCGAGUGAACAAGGAAAAGCUCAGCGCUGAAUCGCACGGUGGCAUAGCCGUUGUGACCUGUAGCGUAUAGGCAGUGGCCAAAUUGGCUACCAUUCGCCUACUUCAAGUUCCCUUGAGCGGGGCAAGAUCCGCAGAAGGUGAAAGGCCUGUAGAAGUAAGUGGUGGUUGGUCAAAUGUUGGCCACGUUUAAGAGUCGAGUUGCCUGAAAACGCAGCUCAAAUUUGGUGGUAAACCUCAUCUAAAGCUAAAUAUGGCUUCGAGUCCGAUAGCGAACAAGUACCGUGAGGGAAAAUUGCAAAGAACUUCGAGGGGAGAGUUCAAGAGGACGUGAAACCGCUAAGGGGGAAGCGGAUAGAGUUAACAGAUUGAUGGUGGCAUUCAGCCAAUCCAUGCUGUUGGCAGUGUAUGCGGUGUACUCGGGGCUACCGGGCGCUCAUAUGUUGCCUGCAGUAUUGCUAUCGAUUGGUGGGUUUGCCAUCAUUGUCGCACUGAGGCGCUUGGGGUGGUGUGCUGAAGCGGUUUCUGUAGAGGACUACGUUGCUUGUCGGCGUAGAACCCUACGGCUGUUGAUGCAUAUUCGCCGUAAGCGCAUGACAAGAGUACUGCCCGCAGUUGUGCAUCUAUCGGUUAUGUUUUGUCACCAGCGGUAGCUGCCAGUGUCUUGUUUGUCGCACUGUGUAGUUGCCGUUUUGGUGGCACGUGGCCGAACUAUGGUGCGAUGGCGGCUGGACUGGUCUCGGUGUUAAAUGUUGAUCACCUAUCCGA
rnacentral:rRNA from 1 species